CUACGGGACACUGCAGUGGGGAAUAUUGCACAAUGGAGGAAACUCUGAUGCAGCAACGCCGCGUGGAGGAUGACACUUUUCGGAGCGUAAACUCCUUUUAUAUAGGAAGAAGAUGACGGUACUAUAUGAAUAAGCGCCGGCUAACUCCGUGCCAGCAGCCGCGGUAAUACGGAGGGCGCAAGCGUUACUCGGAAUCACUGGGCGUAAAGAGCGUGUAGGCGGAUUAAAAAGUCAGAAGUGAAAUCCUAUAGCUUAACUAUAGAACUGCUUCUGAAGCUCUUAAUCUAGAAUAUGGGAGAGGUAGAUGGAAUUUCUGGUGUAGGGGUAAAAUCCGUAGAGAUCAGAAGGAAUACCGAUUGCGAAGGCGAUCUACUAGAACAUUAUUGACGCUGAGACGCGAAAGCGUGGGGAGCAAACAGGAUUAGAUACCCUCGUAGUC
rnacentral:rRNA from 1 species